AACGCACAUUGCGCCCGUUAGUAUUCUGACGGGCAUGCCUGUCCGAGCGUCAUUUCAACCCUUAAGCACUGCUUAGCGUUGGUGGAUUACGGGGCCUUAUGGCUCCGUAACCGCCUAAAUCCAGUGGCGGUCCCGCUGUGGCUCCCUUGCGUAGUAACUCACCUCGCACCGGUCCAGGCGGCGGCUUGCCGUAAAACACUAUUUUAUAGAACAAGGUUGACCUCGGAUCAGGUAGGAAUACCCGCUGAACUUAA
rnacentral:misc_RNA from 1 species